rnacentral:tRNA from 1 species
GGAGGCAUUGUCUAACGGUAGGACGUCACCCUUACACGGUGAAGGUCUGGGUUCGACUCCCUGUGCCUCCA